ACACACCGCCCGUCGCUACUACCGAUUGAAUGGCUUAGUGAGGCUUCCGGAUUGGUUUAGAGAAGGGGGCAACUCCAUCUUGGAACCGAGAAGCUAGUCAAACUUGGGUCAUUUAGAGGAAGUAAAAGUCGUAACAAGGUUUCCGUAGGUGAACCUGCGGAAGGAUCAUUACAGAAUGAAAGUGCUUAACUGCAUUUUUUUACACAUGUGUUUUUCUUUUUUUUUGAAAACUUUGCUUUGGUGGGCCCAUGGCCUGCCAGAGAUUAAACUCAACCAAAUUUUAUUUAAGUCAACUGAUUAACUAAUAGUCAAAACUUUCAACAACGGAUCUCUUGGUUCUCGCAUCGAUGAAGAACGCAGCGAAAUGCGAUAAGUAAUAUGAAUUGCAGAUAUUCGUGAAUCAUCGAAUCUUUGAACGCACAUUGCGCCCUUUGGUAUUCCAAAGGGCAUGCCUGUUUGAGCGUCAUUUCUCCCUCAAACCUUCGGGUUUGGUGUUGAGCGAUACGCUGGGUUUGCUUGAAAGAAAGGCGGAGUAUAAACUAAUGGAUAGGUUUUUUUCCACUCAUUGGUACAAACUCCAAAAUUCUUCCAAAUUCGACCUCAAAUCAGGUAGGACUACCCGCUGAACUUAAGCAUAUCAAUAAGCGGAGGAAAAGAAACCAACAGGGAUUGCCUUAGUAGCGGCGAGUGAAGCGGCAAAAGCUCAAAUUUGAAAUCUGGCACUUU
rnacentral:rRNA from 1 species